CCUACGGGAGGCAGCAGUGGGGAAUUUUGGACAAUGGGCGCAAGCCUGAUCCAGCCAUUCCGCGUGCAGGACGAAGGCCUUCGGGUUGUAAACUGCUUUUGUACGGAACGAAAAUGCCUUUGCUAAUACCAGGGGCGAAUGACGGUACCGUAAGAAUAAGCACCGGCUAACUACGUGCCAGCAGCCGCGGUAAUACAUAGGGUGCAAGCGUUGUCCGGAAUUAUUGGGCGUAAAGAGCUCGUAGGUCGUUUGCCGCGUCGAUUGUGAAAAUCUGAGGCUCAACCUCAGACCUGCAGUCGAUACGGGCAAACUAGAGUGUGGUAGGGGAGACUGGAAUUCCUGGUGUAGCGGUGGAAUGCGCAGAUAUCAGGAGGAACACCAAUGGCGAAGGCAGGUCUCUGGGCCAUAACUGACACUGAGGAGCGAAAGCGCGGGGAGCGAACAGGAUUAGAUACCCUGGUAGUCCGCGCCGUAAACGGUGGGCACUAGCUGUGAGGACCUUCCACGGUCUUCGCGACGCAGCAAACGCAUUAAGUGCCCCGCCUGGGGAGUACGAUCGCAAGAUUAAAACUCAAAGGAAUUGACGG
rnacentral:rRNA from 1 species